GUGUUCAGAAAUUUUUCAUAACAUACAAAAAGAGUGGAAAGAACAAGUUAUCUGGAAGACAAAACACCCAAUUUUGAUAUGCAGUGAACAUUUUGACAAAGAUUGUUAUAGAAAGUUAGACAGCAAAAUACUCAGAAAUGGUGCAGUUAAAAUGGGUUGUGUGAACAACUCAUUACAGGUCGCAAGGCAUGACCAUUCAUACCCAAGAGAGAAUCUAAGCAAAGAGCAGCUUUUUGAGUCAUUGCAACAAUCAACAUUAAAGGUUAAACAAUUUCAGAAAAAUUAGUAUUUUUCUAAAAACAGUAAAAGGAAAAUGGAAGAAAAUGUUGAGAGGCUGAAGGAAACCAUUACAAAUUUGAAAGAAAAGUUCAGCAUCCCUGAUGAAACACUAAGCAAUCUACAGAAUACAGCAAAGUACCAGAACAAAAUUAAACAGAAGUGUGAAAAAAUCAAGUUCUCCAAAACAGAACCUGGAAAAGUAUAUGAAACCUAUCAUCGUUUGCAGUAACUCUGCACUUAGUUUCAGCGCAGGCAUACAGAUUUGUUAAGAGACCUUUGAAGAUUGUUUACCAGACAAAAGAACAAUAAGAUUUUAUAUGAAUUUGUUAUGAUCAAGGAGAUGGGGCUUCAGACUGGAUGGUUCACCUGGAUUUACAGAUCAGGUUUUUGAGUUCCUGAAGCAAGAAGUUCAAGAAGGAAGAAAAGUUAUUAGAAGUAUAACCUUAGAUGAAAUGUUUAAUAAUAAACAUCUAUUCUUUGACGGAGAAAAAUACCAAGUUGUGGUAGAUCUAGAGGAUGAAGAGGAGGUUGGAGAUGAUGAACAACUUGCAAGUGAUGCCCUUGUGUUUUUGCUGGUAGCUGUAAACACUGAACAGUUCUUGGAAGGUUCCACUUGGCUACUUUAUUAUAAAUGAAUUAAA